rnacentral:lncRNA from 1 species
CUGCCAGACCACUGCUUCAGACCCACUGUGGGAGGACUUCAGAGCAAAUAAGUUAACAAACACCUAAAGUGUUCUCUGCUUCAGUGUGGUAUUCGUGCCUUCUCAUUUCAUGAUCAUGGUAUCUCCCCUGCCAGACUGAAGAGCCUUUUCUGACAUCCUCAUUUGUUCUGCUGUGUAAUAGCAUGGGAUCUUUCAGAGCUGUUGACAUCUGCUCCACUCUAGAGAGCUGCAGAACCGAGCCAGCAAAGCAAUAAUAAUUAUGCCCGAAUGGACUGCAAAGGAUGUAAGAGAUAAGAAGGAACACAAGAAAGAAAAUACAUUCGAUGCCAUGUUGUUCCAGCCUGGAUCAUCAUCUGGCAGGUCUGAGCCUGGUCUUACUAACUGGAAACUGGAGAAGUACGUUCAGAAAUGAACAAGAUGUCCCCGAGGCAACCAGAAUGCCAUCCAAAGUGGCAGGGCAGUGUUGGCCUCUGUCCUCUGUUCCUGUUCCUCCUUGCUGCUCGAACUCUGGCUCCCGCUGGCAUUUCUCUUUCUGCCACAGAGCUCUCCGGCCUCCAGGGACGUGGAUCCAACCCCAGUUCCCGCCUCCACUCGACCCAGGGGUUGGAUCUGAUGUGGUCAGGGGUCAUCUCAACCCACUGCCAGUGAUUGGUUCAGAAAUGGGUGUGUAAUCAUUUUGGCCGAUGAACAAAAGGAGAGAUUUUUCAGAGACUGCCUUGGGAAGAGUUUCUCUGAACAUCACCAUUCCUGGAUGGGAGGUCCCUCUGCGACAGAUGUCUUGCUGCCAGGUUGAGGAUGAAGGUGCAAGCACAAGUGGGCAGAGCAAAGAGAAGAGUGGGAGAAAGGGGCAGGAGCCACAGGACCCCACCCACCCCAAAGCCUCAAACCUCUAGACUUUGGUUUUGGGGGCUGUACUUUAUUUUAGCUUAUAAGCCAGUUUGAGUUUUCUAUUGCUUGCAAUAAAGAAAUCUUAAUACAAGUUGUCAAAAACUAAAAACUUCUAAGUACUAAUGAGAAAAACAAAGCAUGUGGCCUAUGUAAAGAAAGAAUGUAAUAUUGACCAAUGGAUAAAAGGAAGAGAAACUGCAAGGUAAUAGAACUAAGAUAAGAUGGCUUCCUUCCAGUGCAAAGGGUUAAACUAUCAAAUAAUUUAGUGCCAAACCUAAAGCACUGUCCUCACGCAGGAUGGCUUGAAUAUGACCCUCUUGGCCAUCAACCAUGGCUGUACUCAACCUCAGCAUAAGACCUGUUGUAGAGCAUGAAAUAGAUGCAACCUAGCAUACUAUUUAAAGUGGCCCUCAAGGGGCACAUGGGUGGCUCAGUGGUUGAACGUCUCCUUCAGCUUAGGGUGUGAUCCUGGGUCCGGGGAUCGAGUCCCGCAUUGGGCUCCCCCCAGGGAACUUGCUUCUCCCUCUGCCUAUGUCUCUGCCCCUCUUUCUGUGUCUCUCAUGAAUAAGUCAAUAAAGUCUUUUAAAAAAAGGAAAAAAAAAACAUAAAAUGGGCCUCAAGAUGCCUGGGUUGAGAUACCAGAGAUUGUUCUGGAGGCUCUGACAAUAAUAAUACAGUUCCCGAUGGAAGGGCAUGGGCCGGAGGAAAGACAUUUAAAUUCGUGGAAGCGAAGGUCAGUUUUGUGCAUAAGUGAAAAUGGAAGGCUUUAAGGAAAUGGAAAAGUGUUCCCCCCCCAUCUGAAAUACAUCCCCCAAAUCCCUGCUGUUUGCAAUUGUUACCUUAGGAGUGAGGACAGAUAAAGGACCUCAAAUGAAAAUUUCUAUGAGAGCACUAAUAUAUUGUACUAAAAACUUGGCCAUUCGAAAAUCUGUUUCACUGACUCUAGAAAGUAAGCUUUGCAAGGCCAGAGAUAUUUGUCUUGUUCAUCACUUUAUCCCUUCUAACCAAAAGGAUGUUUAAGCCACAAUACAUGCAAAAGAAACAUUUAUGACUAAAUGAAUGACCUAUAUCUGAGUCUCACCAAGGGCAAACCUUUAUAGGAGAGAAGAAAGUCUCCAGAGGCGGAUUUAUCACGCAGCUGGUGAAAGGUAAGCAUUAGUGCCCCUCAGUCUGCUAGGAGGAACCCUACCAGUGCAUUCCCUUGUCACAUGUUUUUGCAAAUUUGUAAAAGUCAGUUAGUUUAGUCUGGACAGAUCAGACUUCUGUCUGUUUCCAUUCCUUUUUUAAGAUUUUAUUUAUUCAUGAGAGACACAGAGAGAGAGGCAGAGACAAAAGAAGAGGGAGAAACAGGCUCCCCACAAGGAACCUGAUGUGGGACUUGAUCCCAGACCCCAGGAUCACAUCCUGAGCCAAAGGCAGAUGCUCAACCGCUGAGCCACCCAGGUGUCCCUGUCUCCAUUCCAACGGCUCUCCUACCGGGUCAUCAGUGUGGGGCAUUUGGUAGUGGGGGGGGGAGGCAGCUGAGGCAAGCGGAUUCAGAAAUACAUUAGUUUUGGUGUAGCGUGAUAUAUUUAUGUGAUUCCCAGUCACUUGUAAAUGUGAUAUUUCUAGCCUUCCUCCAGUGGGAGUGGAUUUCAGGAAAACUGUGGAAACGCAUCUGCUGUCCUAACAACGUAAAGUGGCAGAUCUAAAUGUUGUAUCACAAUAUGAAUAUGUCCUAUGACCUUAGUGGAGGAAAAGGAAUAUUUGAAAUGGAGCCCAGGAACUAGUCUGUGGAAAAUUCUCUCCAAUCAAUUGUAAACAAAGCGGUUUUCAUUGACACUUAGUCAAAAUGAAGUUUUCUCUUCUUGGGAAGGCACAGGAAGAUGUAGGGUAUACUUUUGUGUUUUGGUACCAUAUAAUAAAAUCAUUUUUCAUGUAUUUGCAAAUGAUGGUAGUAGAAAUCAUUCUGACAUCUAGACAUGUGAAUUGUAACAAAAAAAAAAAGAUGAUUCCAAGAGUAGUAAAUCAUUAAGAGGAAGAGAUAAAUUGCUAAUAGAAAUAAUAAAUAGGCUCCUAGAUUAUUUAAUGAUCCAAUUAACGAAGAAGAGUGAGUUCCGAGAACAUUUUUGAAAAAUAUUUAAAUUUCUUUAUGAUUUGACAAGAAUUUCAUAUUGAAAAAGAUAAUGUAACUAAUGAUACAUCACUACAGUGAAGAUAUUGACGACAAAUUUGUUCACAGUGAGCCCCAACUCAAAACAUUUAUGAUUUGGCACCAAACACCAAAACCUGGAAAUGCUCUGAAAUCUUAUAACUCAUAUAUGACAAAAUGUUUCCCCAGAUAGACUAUAAUCCUGAACAUUUCUGUGAUGGUACCAAUAAUGAGAUAAGGAGCUCACAAACUUUUCAAAAUUACCAAUGAAAGACACAUUUGAUCAACCAUGUACAGGAAAGAUUGAUUUAUACUUUCUAGGUAACAAAUAUACAAAAUAUUUGCCAUAUGAAGAGGUAAUCCAUACAGAGUUAAACAAAAAGAAUGAAAAAUCAUACAGGGGUUUUAGAUAGUCAAGUAACAAAUAUAUCAUAGUAGAAUAGUAUAUGUGUAUUGAGGAUGGAAUUCAGGAGCCCUCCUAGACUUUCUAAAGUAGAAGAAAGAAUGAGGGUCACUGCCCUGAGCAAUGGUAUCUAGAGGAAAGAAAACCGACUUUAGACUUCAUGUGUCUUGGGUUGAAAUCCCAGUCCCUCCACUUUAAUAGUUGUGUGACUAUGGGCCUUGAUUUCUACAUUUGCAAAAAUAGGCAGAAUUUUAAGUGCCUUUUAGAGCUUUUGUGAAAAUUAAAUGCUACUACUGAAAUUAAAUGAAGCUAUAAAAAUUAAAUGAAUAGGGCUAUCCUAAAGUCAAUGUGCUCAGUAAAAGGUGUUCUGUAAAUGUUAGCUUCCUUCUGAAAUACAUAGAGCAGGAUGUCAACUUAUGCAAAGGAUGUAAAUUUGUUCUGGUCAUAAAUGUCAAUGCAUUUUCUGACAAUACUGGUGAAUUUGUACAGACUAUAUGGAUUAUGUUUCACCUUUUUGCCUUAUCCUGAAGCUAAUACCGAAUAGGGCAAUGACAUGUAUGGACAAUUUAUGAAGAAAGAAAUAAGAAUAUCUGGUAAUAUAGCAAGAAUUGUUUGACAUACCUGGUCGUCAAACAUGGUGUAAACAAUCAAAUACCAUUUAAUCACUCAGAUUGACAAAGAGUAAGAAGAAUGAAAAAGACUGCCCCCAGAUGGUAAGGGUGUGAGGGAGAAGCGUUCUCAAACCACUGGCUGCCUGGAGUUCAAAUUGGGACAACUGUUUGGAGGCCAAUUUAAAAAUACAGUUGAGGGCGUCUGGGUGGCUCAGUCAGUUAAGCAUCUCAGGACAUGAUCCCAGGGUCCUCUGCCUGCAGCUCCCCCUGCUUGUGCUCUGUCAAAUAAAUCAAAUAUUUUAAAAAAUAAAUAAAAAAUAAAAAUAUAGUUGACCCUAGAAUGAUGUGGGGCUUAGGGGCUCCAAGGCCCCACUUCCCGCACAGGUGAAAAUUGUGUAUGACUUUUGACUGCCCAAAAACCUAAUUUCUGGUAGCCUACUCUUGACCAGAAGCCUCACAAAGAACCUGUGGAGUGGAUUCGUGCAUCUUUCAUAUGUUAUGUAUCAUAUAUUGUAUUCUUACAAUAAAAUGAGCUAGAGAAAAGAAAUUUUGUUAAAAUUGUAAGGAAAAUACAUUCAUAGUGCUAUACUGCAAAAAAUCUGUGUAAGUGGGCCCAUGCCGUUCAAGCCUGUGUUGUUCGAGGGUCAAGUGUAGACCAAAACAGCAACAAACAAAACCCUUUAAAAAAUGUUUACCCUGGGGCAGCCCAGGUGGCUCAGCGGUUUAGCGCCACCUCCAGUCCAGGGUGUGAUCCCAGAGAGCCAGGAUUGAGUCCCGGGUCAGGCUCCCUGCAUGGAGCCUGCUUCUCCCUCUGCCUGUGUCUCUGUCUCUGUCUCUCUCUCUCUCUCCCUGUGUGUGUGUGUCUCUCAUGAAUAAAUAAAAUCUUUUUUAAAAAAAUGUUUACCCUGCAUUUAAAGCUAAACAUGCCUACCCCAUGACCUACUCAUUCCACUUCUAGUUUGCUUCAAAAUAAUAUGUACAUAUGUCCUUCAAAUGGUCUGUACUGAAAUGUUCAUGGCAACUUUAUUCCUAAUGAUCUAAGUGUCUCUCAACAGUAAAAUGAAUCAAAGUGUAGUAUAGUCAAAAAAUAAAAUACUGUGCAGCAAUAUAAAGGGUGAAUCACUGUUACCACGACAGCAUGGAUGAGUAUCACAGACAUCAUGCUGACUCAAAGAAGCCAGAAACAAAAGAAGUAUGCACCCUGGAUCGUUCCAUUUAUAUGAAGAUCAAG